UCUGCUGUGGGUCGGGUAGGGUAGGGGGCUCACGCCUCCCGCCUCUCCCUUCCCUCGGCGCGGGUGAACUGGUCCUAGCCCGGUUCCCCGCAGUUCCUUUUUGCCUGGGAUGCGCCCGACUGGCUCCAUCCCCUUUCCCCGUUAGGCACGGCUAGAUGACGCACCGAUGGGUGGGUGUGUAGGCCGCUACCGAGGGGGACUGGGGGUGUCCGGUGAACCGGGACUUCCCGAAAUGGUCUCACAUUUUUAAGCGGCUUGAGUAUCACCCAGUAUCCUCGCGCGGCACUGGGAACCCAGUCAACCGCUCUGCGCCCGGCGCAGGCGGGGGUUUAAUGUCUCCCCGGCCCCACCGGGCGCUUCGGCGACGGCGGCAGAGGAGCACCCGGAGGCCCCCAUAAAGUUAAACCUACCUGUCUUUGAACUAUGACCUCUCGCUCUGGCGAAGGGCGGAGGAAAGGAGGGCAACCUCCCCAACUCCCAACCCUUGAAACACGGACCAAGGAGACUAACGCACGCGCAAGUCAGAGUGUUUUCUCCGACACACCCCGUGGCGCAAUGAAAGUGAGGGCCGGCGCGCGCUGGCUGAGGUGGGAUCCCGGCCCUACGGGGUUGGGCGCACCACCGGCCCGUCUCGCCCGCUCUGUCGGGGAGGUGGAGCGUGAGCGUGUGCGAUAGGACCCGAAAGAUGAUGAACUAUGCCUGGGCGGUCCUGACGUGCAAAUCGGUUGUCCGAUCACCGCG